rnacentral:rRNA from 1 species
UGCAGUCGAGCGCACCCUUCGGGGCGAGCGGCGGACGGGUUAGUAACGCGUGGGAAUGUACCCUUCUCUAUGGAAUAGCCUCGGGAAACUGAGAGUAAUACCAUAUACGCCCUUCGGGGGAAAGAUUUAUCGGAGAAGGAUCAGCCCGCGUAAGAUUAGAUAGUUGGUGGGGUAAUGGCCUACCAAGUCUACGAUCUUUAGCUGGUUUUAGAGGAUGAUCAGCAACACUGGGACUGAGACACGGCCCAGACUCCUACGGGAGGCAGCAGUGGGGAAUCUUAGACAAUGGGCGCAAGCCUGAUCUAGCCAUGCCGCGUGUGUGAUGAAGGCCUUAGGGUCGUAAAGCACUUUCGCCAGGGAUGAUAAUGACAGUACCUGGUAAAGAAACCCCGGCUAACUCCGUGCCAGCUGCCGCGGUAAU